GCUGGAUCCCCUCCUUUCUAAAGGACAUACUCGCUCGAGAGUCGGUUGGCUGUUCAGUUUUUUAAGACCAAAAUUAAGUUUUUUGACCUUUGGCAAAUUUUUCUUCGGGCGCGCAGGCCCGGAGCCCGUAAGGGGAAAAAUGGUUCUAAUCGAGCUAUCCCCAUACGACACUAGGGCCUGUAGCUCAGGUGGUUAGAGCGCACCCCUGAUAAGGGUGAGGUCGGAAGUUCAAGUCUUCCCAGGCCCACCAGCUAAUCAGCAAGGCGAACACGCUUUGCAUUUUCGGGGAUGUAGCUCAGUUGGGAGAGCACCGGCUUUGCAAGCCGGGGGUCAGGGGUUCGAUCCCCCUCAUCUCCACCAAUAAUAAGGUGUAGUGAGGGAUUGAGAAUUUGAAAGGGGUUUGCGAAGCCGAAGGCUGAGCACCCUGUCGAAUGACAGGGCGAUCCCCCUCAUCUCCACCAAUAAUAAGGUGUAGUGAGGGAUGAAAAGUUGAAGGGGUUUUUGAGCCGAAGGCGAAAACCCUGCCGAAUGGCAGGGCGAUCCCCCUCAUCUCCACCAAUAAAAGGUGUAGUGAGGGAUUGAGAAUUUGAAAGGGGUUUGCGAAGCCGAAGGCUGAGCACCCUGUCGAAUGACAGGGUGGUUGUUAUCAAGCUCAAUUAAAAAGUUUUUGUUCUUUGACAAUUGCAUAUGUCCCAAGGCGAAUUCAUUUCGUCGCACCGAUUUCUUUGUAGGUAUUUUCAAAUACUUUGGAAGACCAAGUUAUUGAUUUGGUCAAGCUACUAAGAGUGCACGGUGGAUGCCUUGGCGGAGAACGGCGAUGAAGGACGUUGUUGGUUGCGAUAAGCUUCGGGGAGCC
rnacentral:misc_RNA from 1 species